rnacentral:rRNA from 1 species
CCUACGGGAGGCAGCAGUAGGGAAUCUUCCACAAUGGGCGCAAGCCUGAUGCAGCAACACCGCGUGAGUGAAGAAGGGUUUCGGCGCUGAAAGCUCUGUUUUUGAAGAAGAACGUUCGUUCACGUAACCGUUCUCGCAUUGACGGUAUCCAUCCAGAACGUCACGGCUAACUACGUGCCAGCAGCCGCGGUAAUACGUAGGUGGCAAGCGUUAUCCGGAUUUAUUUGGUGUAAAGGGAGAGCAGGUGGUUGCUUAGGUCUGAUGUGAAAGUCUUCGGCUUAACCGAAGAAGUGCAUCGGAAACCGGGAGACUUGAGUGCAGAAGAGGACAGUGGAACUCGUGGUGUAGCGGUGGAAUGCGUAGAUAUAUGGAAGAACACCAGUGGCGAAGGCAGCUGUCUGGUCUGCAACUGACGCUGAGGCUCGAAAGCAUGGGUAGCGAACAGGAUUAGAUACCCUUGUAGUC